rnacentral:lncRNA from 1 species
CUGGGGGACCCGCCCUCACUUAGAAUCUUUUUCCGAAGAGAAUGGGAGAGAGCAGUGUGAUGUUUUUCAAAUUGUGUCUAACGGAGCUCCCAAAACACCGGACUUGUUACCCCCUGAUUGGCUGGAAGGAAGCGGGACUGGGGGGUUUGAAUGUUGAACACCAGAUUACAAUUCUGGACUUUCCGAAAAAUUGUACUCUUAGAAAACCACGGAAAUAGUUACGAAACAUUAAGACAGGGAGUUAAAAAAAAAAAAAAAAGCUGGUGUUUAAGCUUUUUUUUCUUUCAUAAAGGGCUUUCGAGUGGUUCUGAUGUAUAUUAAAAGUAAAACUGAGGAGGCAAUUUUCGCAAAAUUGUAAUUCUGCUGGCUGAAAUUACAAGACUUUCGUAUAUUUGUCCCUCUUCUCUGUUGGUUAAAAACUGAGUGUAGGAUUUAGAUUUUUUAUUCCUUUGACAGAAAUUUUUCAUAUUAAGCUACAUAUAUUUGUUAGAUGCAGAUUACGGGAGAAUUGUUUUAUUUUGACGAAAAGAGACUUUAAUUUCCUUAAUAUUAAGAUUGAGCUUUUCCACAUUUUCCAUAAAAAUGAAUAUGUUUUAAAAGCUUUUCACAUCUAAUUUGAAAUAUGUAGGUUUUGUUAAUUCAGCCAUUGCAGUGGACUUAAAACUUUAUUUACAAGAAAUUUAUCUUGCUUAAUUUAGACAAUACAACAGGUAAGUACGCACAGCCCAGAAAAGUCAGGUAUUACCACAGGAACACAAUGAUGGGGGAAGGUGUUGCUACAGUAGCUCAACUCUUUUUUAAAGCUAUGUUUACAUAUUGUGGGGGAGAGGGAACUAGAGAAGGUAAGGUAUCAGUCUUCCUGGUAGCAUUGAUUUUUAUGUGUUUGCCCUUCAUACUGUUUUUAAAAAUCCAAAUAAAAAUGCAAUUUUAGACUUUGUUUUAAUGUUAUUAACUUGCCUUUGUUGUAAAUGUUUAAAAUGUAGCCUCAGGUAUUUAUAUGUAACAUGGCAUUUUUUCUCAUCAGAUUAAUAUCACUUUUAAUGUUUACCAACUAGAGCUAAGGAUGAAAAUUUCAAAAUAGCUUUGAUAUUCUGGAUCCCUUGUUUUAUCAUGUUUUGUG